rnacentral:lncRNA from 1 species
UGCCACAUGUAGCUGCAGCUCCUACGGAAUACCAUGCACCAGGGUGAAUGAAGAAGACCAGGGAGCUGCAGGAGCUCCGCUGCAAAAUCCUUUGCAUGCUCAGCACCGCACAAGCUCCUCAGCUGAUUGAAGUGGACAGAAAGAAUUACUGCUGACAAGCAAAUUGUGAAUAAGGUAGGAUGAGGGCAGUUGUAAAGGGAAGGAAUUCGGGAGCCCUUCGUACCAUGACACUUUUGGAAGAAUGCUUUCAGUCUUUCGACCCCCAAAAUCACUCUAAAGGUAAAGAGAUACAAUUACUCUGA